UUUGUGGUUUAGUGAGUCUGCCAGAUCAGAGGCAGAUGAACAUGUGUCCUAUUGAUAGGUGUGUUAUAUUGAUAGGUGUGUUAUUUUGAUAGGUGUGUUAUAUUGAUAGGUGUGUUAUGUUGAUAGGUGUGUUAUAUUGAUAGGUGUGUUAUUUUGAUAGGUGUGUUAUAUUGAUAGGUGUGUUAUUUUGAUAGGUGUGUUAUAUUGAUAGGUGUGUUAUAUUGAUAGGUGUGUUAUAUUGAUAGGUGUGUUAUAUUGAUAGGUGUGUUAUGUUGAUAGGUGUGUUAUAUUGAUAGGUGUGUUAUAUUGAUAGGUGUGUUAUAUUGAUAGGUGUGUUAUAUUGAUAGGUGUGUUAUAUUGAUAGGUGUGUUAUAUUGAUAGGUGUGUUAUUUUGAUAGGUGUGUUAUAUUGAUAGGUGUGUUAUAUUGAUAGGUGUGUCAUAUUGAUAGGUGUGUUAUAUUGAUAGGUGUGUCAUAUUGAUAGGUG